rnacentral:rRNA from 1 species
AUUGAACGCUGGCGGCAGGCCUAACACAUGCAAGUCGAGCGGAUGAAGGGAGCUUGCUCCUGGAUUCAGCGGCGGACGGGUGAGUAAUGCCUAGGAAUCUGCCUGGUAGUGGGGGAUAACGUCCGGAAACGGGCGCUAAUACCGCAUACGUCCUGAGGGAGAAAGUGGGGGAUCUUCGGACCCCACGCUAUCAGAUGAGCCUAGGUCGGAUUAGCUAGUUGGUGGGGUAAAGGCCUACCAAGGCGACGAUCCGUAACUGGUCUGAGAGGAUGAUCAGUCACACUGGAACUGAGACACGGUCCAGACUCCUACGGGAGGCAGCAGUGGGGAAUAUUGGACAAUGGGCGAAAGCCUGAUCCAGCCAUGCCGCGUGUGUGAAGAAGGUCUUCGGAUUGUAAAGCACUUUAAGUUGGGAGGAAGGGCAGUAAGUUAAUACCUUGCUGCUUUGACGUUACCAACAGAAUAAGCACCGGCUAACUUCGUG